rnacentral:rRNA from 1 species
UACGUAGGGGGCAAGCGUUGUCCGGAAUUACUGGGCGUAAAGCGUGCGCAGACGGUUGCGUAAGUCAGAUGUGAAAGCCCCGGGCUCAACCUGGGAAUUGCAUUUGGAGACUGCGUAGCUAGGGUGCGGAAGAGGGAAGCGGAAUUUCCGGUGUAGCGGUGAAAUGCGUAGAUAUCGGAAGGAACACCAGUGGCGAAAGCGGCUUCCUGGUCCAGCACCGACGUCAGGCACGAAAGCGUGGGGAGCAAACAGG